CCUACGGGGGGCAGCAGUGGGGAUACUGCACAAUGGGGGAAACCCUGAUGCAGCGACGCCGCGUGGGUGAAGAAGCGCCUCGGCGCGUAAAGCCCUGUCAGCAGGGAAGAAAAUGACGGUACCUGAAGAAGAAGCCCCGGCUAACUACGUGCCAGCAGCCGCGGUAAUACGUAGGGGGCAAGCGUUAUCCGGAUUUACUGGGUGUAAAGGGGGCGCAGACGGCGAUGCAAGCCAGGAGUGAAAGCCAGGGGCCCAACCCCGGGACUGCUCUUGGAACUGCGUGGCUAGAGUGCAGGAGGGGCAGG
rnacentral:rRNA from 1 species